rnacentral:rRNA from 1 species
UGUGAACAUACCACUUGUUGCCUCGGCGGAUCAGCCCGCUCCCGGUAAAACGGGACGGCCCGCCAGAGGACCCCUAAACUCUGUUUCUAUAUGUAACUUCUGAGUAAAACCAUAAAUAAAUCAAAACUUUCAACAACGGAUCUCUUGGUUCUGGCAUCGAUGAAGAACGCAGCAAAAUGCGAUAAGUAAUGUGAAUUGCAGAAUUCAGUGAAUCAUCGAAUCUUUGAACGCACAUUGCGCCCGCCAGUAUUCUGGCGGGCAUGCCUGUUCGAGCGUCAUUUCAACCCUCAAGCACAGCUUGGUGUUGGGACUCGCGUUAAUUCGCGUUCCUCAAAUUGAUUGGCGGUCACGUCGAGCUUCCAUAGCGUAGUAGUAAAACCCUCGUUACUGGUAAUCGUCGCGGCCACGCCGUUAAACCCCAACUUCUGAAUGUUGACCUCGGAUCA